UUUUCCCAGGUUAGUACACUGUACUAAUUUAUUCAUUUAUUUUCUAGAUAUUAAGUGGUUUUUUUUAUUUUAAUUCUGUAGAUACCAACUGGUUCUACUAAGCACAGCUGAAGAAAGGAGAAAAGUGAGAAGUGACUUACAGCAUCUUUUAGAGAUGGUUGCUACACAUGUAGCGUCUUUGGAAAAACACCUUGAAGAACAGAUUGCAAAAGCAGAUGGAGACUAUGAAGGAUGCAUGUCUGAAGACCUCUUGGAAAAUAUCAAAGAGAUUGUCGAGAAGUACAAGAGUAGUGCUGCUCUAUUUAAGACUCCGAGUGAAUGAAGAUAAAUUGACGGUGGCUUUCUUGUAUCUGCCAUAUAUUAACUAAAAACAUUUAUAUUUUUAAAUUGUGGUAACUUAGUAGAUUAGCUUGUUAAGUGUAACAGACAGAUAAUAAAGUACAUUAAUAAAGUGUGGGAUUUCCCUCCA